AGGCACGUAGCUCAGUUGGUUAGAGCACCACCUUGACAUGGUGGGGGUCGUUGGUUCGAGUCCAAUCGCGCCUA
rfam:Pseudomonas agarici strain NCPPB 2472 genome.